rnacentral:misc_RNA from 1 species
UCUCCGUAGGUGAACCUGCGGAGGGAUCAUUACCGAGUGAGGGUCCUUGUGGCCCGACCUCCAACCCCCUGUCUUCCGACUCUGUUGCCUCGGGGGCGACCCUGCCGUUCGCGGCGCGGCGCCCCCGGGGGAAAUCAAACACUGCGUCAAUUUGUGUCGGAGUACUUGUUAAUAAACAAAACUUUCAACAACGGAUCUCUUGGUUCUGGCAUCGAUGAAGAACGCAGC